rnacentral:rRNA from 1 species
GACGAACGCUGGCGGCGUGCUUAACACAUGCAAGUCGAACGGAAAGGCCCUGCUUUUGUGGGGUGCUCGAGUGGCGAACGGGUGAGUAACACGUGAGUAACCUGCCCUUGACUUUGGGAUAACUUCAGGAAACUGGGGCUAAUACCGGAUAGGAGCUCCUGCUGCAUGGUGGGGGUUGGAAAGUUUCGGCGGUUGGGGAUGGACUCGCGGCUUAUCAGCUUGUUGGUGGGGUAGUGGCUUACCAAGGCUUUGACGGGUAGCCGGCCUGAGAGGGUGACCAGGGACAAGGGGACUAAGGGACGCAGCAGAGGGGUACAUGAGACAACAGGGGCAAGUAUUGUACAGCGGUCGGGAGUGUGUGAAGACGGCGCUCGGGUUGUGAAGACGGUCUGUUGGGAAAGAAAAGCAUCCGGUUGAUACCAAGCGGGUCUGACGGUACCGAAAGAAUAAGCACCGGCUAACUUCGUG